rnacentral:rRNA from 1 species
GACGAACGCUGGCGGCGUGCUUAACACAUGCAAGUCGAACGCUGAAGCUCAGCUUUUGUUGGGUGGAUGAGUGGCGAACGGGUGAGUAACACGUGAGUAACCUGCCCCCUUCUUUGGGAUAACGCCCGGAAACGGGUGCUAAUACUGGAUAUUCACUGGUCUUCGCAUGGGGGUGGGGGGAAGGGGUUUUUUGGGGGGGGGAUGGCGCAGCGGCCUUUCAGCUUGUUGGUGGGGGGAGGGCCUACCAAGGCUUUGCCGGGUAGCCGGCCUGAGGGGGUGACCGGUCACAUUGGGACUGAGAUGCGGCCCAGACUCCUACGGGAGGCAGCAGUGGGGAAUAUUGCACAAUGGGCGCAAGACUGAUGCAGCGACGCCGCGUGAGGGAUGGAGGCCUUCGGGUUGUGAACCCCUUUCGCUCAUGGUCAAGCCGAAACAAUGGUUGUGGUGAGGGUAGUGGGUAAAGAAGCGCCGGCUAACUACGUG